rnacentral:tRNA from 1 species
AGAAUGGCUGAGUAAGCAUUAGACUGUAAAUCUAAAGACAGAGGAAUAUCCCUCUUUUUACCA